UGUCUCAUUGUGAUUUUAAUUGUUAAUUAUCUCAUAACUAAUUAUGAUACCUUCCCAUAUACUUGGUAUUGCUUUGCCAUCUUUUAUAACAUUUCUAAUUUUUUCUCAUUUAUCAGUGAGUUGCUUUUCUUCUUAGUUGAUGUUCCUACACUUUACACCUGUUAUAAGUAAAACUAGUAUUUUUAGAUUUUCUUAUAGAAGCUUUACUGUUUUGAGAUACAAAAUAGAACUGUGCUAGCUAUCCAUGGGAUGCUUGCAGAUCCUCUAACACCAAGACCUCCACAGAUAGAAAAUAUAUUUUGAUGAGGGGGUGGAAUGUUGGAGAGUCCACAAAGUUAUAGCAAUCCUUUUCAAAUGUCCAUUUGUUCCCUAGGAUUUACACUGCAAAUGCUUUUUUUUUUCUCUUUUGUGGUAUAAGAUUUGAACCCGGGGCUGUUGCACUGAGCUACAUCUGAGCUGGCUCAGAUUUUGACAGAAAUUCACUAAUUCACUAAGUGUCCCAGGCUGGGCACACACUGGUGUUUUCCCUGCUUGAGCUUGCCAGAGUUCUUGGAUUGCAGAUGUGUGCACGGCAAGAGAGGUUGCUGUGCUCUUGGUAUCACAUCUGCGUGGUUUUCCUGUCUUCCUCCAUGAUGCUCAUUCAGGUCCAAAGUAUCUCUAUGAAUGCUUACAUGUUUGGAUAUUUGGAUUGACAUAUUUAGGUCUAAAGGUCGAGUUUAAUUCAUGCUUCAUGGGACUCAUCUUUUUACGCUCCUUUUCACUCACUUUCUAACUUUUUAUUGUUGAUUCUCUUUAAACCCGUCACUAUUUACUAUUUUACUUCUGAGACUAACCAUCGUGACACUGUGGCGACAUUGGCAUUGUUCACGAUAAGAUUCCAUGUUUUCUGUGUAUCAAAGGGAAACCAACGUGCUCCACCAUAGCUGUGGGAAACAUGCUCAGCCCCAGCACCAUCAGAAACCAACAAAGCAUCGGCCUCACUUCCAACUCAAGGAGAUGAGCUGCUAUGGCUUUGAGUUUUGGGCAACUUUUGUCUCUCAUUGUGGCAAAAGUUUGUCUCUUUGCUCUGUUGUUGUUACCUUUGCUGUGCAGAAGAUUUUUAAUUUGAUAUAAUCCCAUUUGCUGAUUCUUCACUUUUUCUGUAGGAAAGGUAUGUAUCUUAAUACCAUAAUGGUAAGUGGAAAGAGGGAAUCACAAAAGGUUACAUAUUGCAUGGUUUCUCUAAUACGGAAGAACCAGAACAGAAAUAAUUUACAGAGCAAAAUAAAAGACCCAUGUGAAGAAACAGGAAGUGGACUCUGUAAAGGUUGGAAGAGGAUCUGGAGAAAUGGAGAGCAGAGAUUGCAGAAGGAUGGGAGUAAACAUGACCAAGCUUUGAUGUGUUCAGGGAUCAAACCCCCAUGCCACAUGUAAUUACUAAAAACUCUGAAGCACACACAUAUGCCAAAAAAUUAAAAACAAAAGAGAAAAAGAAGAGUCCCAAGGUUGGCUUGGAGUUUGGAUGCUGAGCUCUGCCCCUCCCUGGUUAUCUGAGUCCUCUGCCAGGGUUGUCAAGGAUAAGAUUGGACCACACUAGGCUGGAGGGCAGGGGUUCAAAGCGAUCAGAAUGAGUGUGUGCCAGCAACAGAAGAAUUGGUACACAGACUUAAGUAAAACUGAGUGUAAGCUUUAAAAAUGAUACAAAUACAUAGAAAUGAAUGUAAGGUAAAAACAUAUCCUGUUAAAAUAACUGGAAAGUAGAAAGAGUUCAUAAAUAUAUGAAAUUACUAAGACAUUUAUGUGAUGAGGAAUAU
ensembl:lncRNA